rnacentral:lncRNA from 1 species
GUGGCCCAGGUGACACGCCUGUUUUGUCUGGAACACGCUCUGAAGCAUACGUUUUCUGCUGGAAGAAAAACAUGUUUUAAGAGGUUUUGUUUCAUUUCGCCGGCUGCUGAUUCAAACACUUGUCCUGCUUUCAUAGUCCGUGAUUAAUUGCAGGUUCCUACUCCUGUGGGAAUUACUCAAGGCUCCUCUCAAAGCCGCGCUGCACUCGUCAGCGUGACUCACCUUUUCACGAUUCCAGAGCUAAUAACAGGGAUUAUCCAGUCGGCACUUCGGGAAAUGAGUGAGAGUGAAGUAAGCUAGCGAGUUCCUUCUACCUCUCUUGAGUUUGAAACGGAAGGUUUUUUUUUUUUUUUUCUUUUCCUAAGCGUUUGCUUUUCUGUUUUUGUUUUCUGCAGAAGGGGACUGUUACAUUUGCUUUUCUUGGGGAAACAAAAACUUUUUAAUGAAGUCUAGCCUAUAGAAGAAAGCACAGAUUGUAAUAAGUGUGCAGCCCGAUAGAUGUUGGCGGUAUAAACCCACCGACAUUUCUGGCACCCCAGAACAAGAAUCAAAACAUGGCCAGCUGUUUGAGGUUUCAAUAUGUUACCUUCCACGUGUGGACAUGCGAUCUUGCUUGGAUGGAGUUUGUUUCUGGAGCUGUGGUGAACUCGCACUUCGGCGCAUCAGGCAGGUGGCGACCAUCACGAUGGCUGACACAGUUAUGACGGCAAGGUUCACAGCGACAACCAUAGCAAUAACGUGGCCACGCGGAGCACAACGCGGUCUCCAACACCGACAACAUCUGGAGCCUAGGAGGCCCACGAUAAGUAUUUGCUGGAUCCAUGAAUAAAUUAGCACCCGUUGUCACAAUCCUCAUUUUUCCUGGUUUUACUGAGUGACCCAAGUGAAUCGCUGACUUACACCGAUGACCAUUGUUUUAGAGUAACUAUCCUUAACCUGUGAGGCAAGAACCCUUUCUGUUCUAGUUUUCAAAGAGUUAUGGCUGAAAAGGGGGCUGAAAGGUAUCAGAUGUAUUUGCCACACCUUUGAGACGCUUCUGUAACUUUUUAUUCAAACACAUCAAUAUAACGGAUCGCUUAAAUGUUACAACACCUUUCCACCCCUGGGUAUAAAAUUCUGUAUUUGUGUGUUUGUGUACGUGCAUGUUCAGGUUUAGUCCAGAGGGGCGUGGUAGGGUUUUGAUUAGGAUUUUUACAUUCUAACAUUUUUGAAAAAGGUUUAUUUUUGAGAAAGACAGAGAGAGAGAGAGAGAGAGAGAGAGAGAGAGAGAGAGAGAGAGAGAGAGAGAGAGAGAGAGAGAGAGAGAGAGAGAGAGAGAGAGAGAGAGAGAGAGAGAGAGAGAGAGAGAGAGAGAGAG